rnacentral:lncRNA from 10 species
ACCAAACUCCCUAAUCAUCCUCAAUACUUUCACAAUAAGUGCAAAUGCUUUCAAAGUUUAAAUAGAUGCAUCAAAAAAUAUGUGCCAGAUAGCAAUAUUUGAACACUUUUCACUAAGUGCUAAAAGAUUUUAGUUUUGUAUACUAACUGUUAACAUGGAUUAAAACCAACAAAUAAAAACACAAUUGCAAUGCUACUUGUGCUACUGGCCAACUUAGCACCAAAUCACUAAUAACAAUAAAAUUUUUCAAAAUCUUAAUCAAAAUUUCCCCAAAUUAAAAGAAAGCCAAUCAAUCUACAAAUUGUAAAGACUGUAAAAUUAGAUCAAUUAAACUCAACUGGGGAGAGAUUUUAUUUUCCAAGGCACAUUUGGCAGUAUCUAAAGACAUUUUUGUUUGUCACAAAUGAAGGAGGGGGUGCUACCGGUGUCUAGUGGGUAGAGAACAGGGAUGCUGCGAAACAUCCUCUUAUACCUAGGCCAGCCCCCUACAACAAAAAAUUAUUGGCAUAAAGUGUCAAUGGUGCCAGAUUUUAGAAAUCCUGAGUUGGAGUUACCAUAAAGUCCAAUUUAUUUUCCUUUAUUUACAGAGCACCCUCUGGUUUAUAACGAUAACAUCAUAGCAUCAGUAUGUAGGAAGAAAUGUAUUUUCUAAUCCAUUAUGGUUUUCAGGGAUGAAGAGAAUUAUUAUUGCUGUAUCUGAAAAUAAUACCACACCAUUAAGAAUGUAAGUGAAAAGGAAGUGUCUAAGGCACUGGAAUCUUUGUACAACUUAAUCGUUUAGAUAAAUUUGAAAUUUAAAAAUGCUUUAAAAUAGGGAUAAACUCUCCAAGAUUCUGAGUUUACAAAAAAAUUUCCAGUGUUUUAAGCAAUUACUUUUCUUAUGUAAAUCCCAGAUAAGAUGUAGAGGUACUUAUCAACAAACUGACUCCAGAUUUCUAUCAAUGAGCCUAAUAAUAUUAUAAUGAUAGUUUAAAUACUAGGCUGAAGGACAUUAAUAAUGGAGAUUAAAGUAAAAGAUGUAUAUUUAAAUUAAUUCAGUUAAAUUUUGUUAAUUGAUACUCAUUUCCAUUAAUUCUGUUUUUGCAACCUUUCAGACUUAUCUUUUAGUCUCCAGAGGCAGAAAAAAAGCAGAAAAGGUUGUUGAAAUUCUUCACAUUGAUUUCAGGGCAAUGAUCUCAAACGGCGCAGUGGGAACCCGCAAAUUUAAGAGGGUAGUUUCCCUGCACAAGCCCUUUUUUUGCCUGCUGCCAUCCGUGUAAGAUGUGACUUGCUCCUCCUUGUCUUCUACCAUGAUUGUGAGGCCUCCCCAGUUAUGUGGAACUCAAAGCUAGAGGAAACCAAAGUCAUAGAACAUCUGAACUCUGUCCAAACAUCGGUCGUAUUUCAAAAUUUCAGACCGAGUCUCGUUCUGUAGUCCAGGCUGGAGUGCAGUGGCGGGAUCUCCACUCACUGCAAGCUCCACCUCCCAGGUUAAAGCCAUUCUCCUGCCUCAGCCUCCUGAGUAGCUGAGACUACAGGCACUCACCACCACACCCGGCUUAUUUUUUGUAUUUUUAGUAGAGACGGGGUUUCACCGUGUUAGCCAGGAUGGUCUCGAUCUCCUGACCUCGUGAUCUGCCUGCCUCGGCCUCCCAAAGUGCUGGUAUUACAGGCGUGAGCCACCACGCCAGGCCACAAUCUUUCAUUUUUAU